ensembl:Mt_tRNA
GUUUUUAUAGUUGAAGUACAACGAUGGUUUUUCAUAUCAUUGGUCAUGGUUAAAGCCCAUGUGAAAACA